AGCAUUGUGGCUCAGUGGAAAGAGCACAGGCUUCAGGCUUGGUCGUGGGUUCAAAUCCCAGCUCUGCUA
rnacentral:tRNA from 1 species